rnacentral:rRNA from 1 species
GCAAGUCGAGCGGAAACGACACUAACAAUCCUUCUUGUCCGUCAAUGGGCGUCGAGCGGCGGACGGGUGAGUAAUGCCUAGGAAAUUGCCUUGAUGUGGGGGAUAACCAUUGGAAACGAUGGCUAAUACCGCAUAAUGCCUACGGGCCAAAGAGGGGGAUCUUCGGACCUCUCGCGUCAAGAUAUGCCUAGGUGGGAUUAGCUAGUUGGUGAGGUAAUGGCUCACCAAGGCGACGAUCCCUAGCUGGUCUGAGAGGAUAAUC